ensembl:lncRNA
CUUCAGAGCUGGCUGGCUGUCCAGCGGAUGGAGCGGCAGACGUGGAAUGCGGGUGUUCUCCGAGCAAGCCAAGCUGGCAAUGGAUGUAUAAAUAGAAGUCAGCAGUCAUUAGGAGCUUCCCGAGCUGAGAUCAUCUUCCCUCUAGCCAUCACGGCAGGCCCAGGCAAGUGCUAGGUCCAUGUCUGUGCCCCACAAGCAGCAAAGGUCAGCAGAACACGAGAGGGGCAGAGAGAAGAGCCAGAAAGUGAACUGAAAAUAACACCUGUGAGAAGCGAGAGCGACUGGGGUAUGCAACAUGGCAAGCAGCACGUCUGGGGGCCUCAGGCCUGGAGGUGCAGCUUUAGGCUCACUGCGGGAGCUGCUGCCCUGACACCUUCCAGCCGGCAUUGCAUACGGUUUGCCAUCAUGGGUCUCAAGCCCCUGAACUUGCCCACUCUGCUCCACCACCUGUCCGUGCUGGUCCUCGGGGGCUGUGAAGACUGAAGGUCAUUUAGCAGCAGCAUUUGCACCGCAGCACAUUCAGCUACAAACCCAUCAGUGGACUACUCCACUGCCCAGGAAAGGCGAACUGCUACCGGAUGACGUGGGGCGUGUGGUGCCCGUGUUUGGAGGCGCCAGCGCCGGGCUGCUGCAGGACACGGGUGAGGGCCUACGGGCAUGUUCAGGCCUGUGACACCUCUCAGGCAGGCUUGAGACUCAGAAUCCCACAACACUGGCCAGGAGUGCCAGGGCAGCGUCACGCUGUCCUGCCCACAGUCACACGUCCUGCAGCAGCACGGAGCUUCCUCUUUAAAGUGAGUCAGCUUGGAAUAAAG